rnacentral:rRNA from 1 species
GACGAACGCUGGCGGCGUGCUUAACACAUGCAAGUCGAACGGUAAGGCCCUUCGGGGUACACGAGUGGCGAACGGGUGAGUAACACGUGGGUGAUCUGCCCUGCACUUCGGGAUAAGCCUGGGAAACUGGGUCUAAUACCGGAUAGGACCACUGCCUGCAUGGGUGGUGGUGGAAAGCUUUUGCGGUGUGGGAUGGGCCCGCGGCCUAUCAGCUUGUUGGUGGGGUGAUGGCCUACCAAGGCGACGCCGGGUAGCCGGCCUGAGAGGGUGACCGGCCACACUGGGACUGAGAGACGGCCCAGACUACUACGGGGGGUAGCAGUGGGGAAUAUUGCACAAUGGGCGCAAGCCUGAUGCAGCGACGCCGCGUGAGGGAUGACGGCCUUCGGGUUGUAAACCUCUUUCAGCACCGACGAAGCGCAAGUGACGGUAGGUGCAGAAGAAGGACCGGCCAACUACGUGCCAGCCGCCGCCGUAA